rnacentral:lncRNA from 10 species
AGUGGGUGGGUUCACACACCAUGACCUCGGCAGCUGGCCUCCAGAUCAGGAGGAGCAACAAGGACAUUUCUUGAGCUACCUGUUGGAUUCCCCUUUCUUGACUUCAGGGAAAGGAGGAAGCCCUCACAAAUCCUUUUGCAAUCUUCUCCUGUCUCCACUCUUUUAUAUCUUCAGUGUAACUGAGAGGUUUCACCAGUCAGGGUGGAGUGCAGGGGCAUGAACACGGAUCACUGCAGCUUCGACUUCCUGGCUCAAGCAAUCCUUCCACUUCCUGGCUCAAGCAAUCCUUCCACCUCAGCCUCCUAGGUACUGGGAUUACACUAACUGCAUCCUGGGCAAUAUCCCCAGCUGAAAGAUUACGCUUCCCAGCCUUCCUUGCAGCUAGACGUAGCCAUAUGACAAAAUGACGCCCAAUGAAGCAUACAUAGAAAAGUCAUGUGAGACUUCUGGAAAAGCUUCUGUAAAAGUGAGGAGCAGACACCCUUUUCUUUUUCUUCUCCUUUCUCUUGCUGUUGGCCUGGAAUGUGGACCUGAUGGAUGGAGCUCUGGCAAUCAUCUUGGAGUAUGAAGUGACCUUAAGGAUGAACAGAAAAGAAAAUGAGCCUGGGCCUUUAAUGACACAGUGGAGCUGCUCCCAGCUUGGCUACCUUCCUCUUAGUCUGCUUUUAUAAGAAAAUAUAUAUAUAUCUUGUUUAAGCACAAAUAUUUUGAGUUUUUCUGCUGUUUGUUGCUAAAAGUAAUUCUAAUUGUUCCAUAAGCCUUCUAGCACUAUUGCAUUUUUAAAUUAUGCAUUUUUUGAUCAAAAAUUAAAUUGUAAUGUUAAAAAAUAAAA